GUCUGUUUGAAGUUAUAAAUGGUCUGGCCUGCUCACUGACGGAAGAUUGUUAAAGAGCCGCGGUAUCUUGACCGUGCAAAGGUAGCAUAAUCAUUAGCUUUUUAAUUUGGAGCUUGUAUGAAUGGUUGGACAAAAGAAAUUCUGUCUUUAUUAUAAAAGUUGAAUUUAACUUCCGGGUGAAAAGGCCUGGUUAUUUCAGGGGGACGAUAAGACCCUGUAAAGCUUUAUAUGCUGUCUAGACCUGGGGGAAGUAUAGGUAAAGAUCUUGUUUAGUUGUCAUAUUUUGUUGGGGCGACAUAGGUAUAAUUUAUAGUAACUGUUUAGUUUAUAUUACAGUAUAAUAAGUGUGUAAAGAUUAAAUGAUCCUUUUUAGAGAUUAAAAGAUUAAGUUACUUUAGGGAUAACAGCGUAAUCAUUUUUGAGAGUUCAUAUCGAAAAAAUGGGUUGCGACCUCGAUGUUGAAUUAAAAUACCUAGACGGCGCAGCAGUUGUUUAAGGAGGUCUGUUCGACCUUUAAAUUUUU
rnacentral:rRNA from 1 species